AUGCAGGUGGAAAGUACCAAGAGCUCAAGUGCAACCCUCCCUCCCAACGUGCCCUCCUACAGGUCUCUGUCUUCCUCCCGUGAGGAUUGCCCUAGCAGUCACACUAGCUUCUCAGAUGGCGAGCUUGCCCGGAAUGUGAGGGAAGGUGUCAAGCAUCGAAUCUUCUACCUCUCAGAGCAGCUGAGAGUGGAGAAGGCCAGUAGGGAUGAAAAUACCAUGAGCUACCUCAAGCUGGUAUCCAAAGCUGACCGACACCAGGCCCCACACAUCCGGAAGGCCUUUGAGAGGGUGAACCAGCGCACCUCUGCCACUAUUGCUCACAUAGAACAAAAACUCUAUCAGUGUCAUCAGCAGCUGAAAGAGCUGGAGGUGGGUUACAGUCCCACAAGCUCAGUGCUGAAAGUGGGAAGUGGCAUGGACAGCCAUAAGGAGCCAGGUGGAAAGGUUUCACAUUCUAAGUUGUCUAAGCCAGGUGGGGAAGAUAGCCUGCCCAUCAACGUUGCUAGGUCCUCUACUCUAGAGAGUCACUUGUCAGGCAUGCAGCAGAGGAAAUUCUCAGACAAAAAGUAUGUGGCCCAGCAACAAAAGCUGCUUUUGCAGAAGAUGAAGGAAAAACUGACAGAAGCCAAGAAGGUUCAUGCUAGCCUUCAGGUCUCCCAUCAAAGCCUCAAGGAAAGCCAUAUGAUUGAUGUACAGAGGAUACUGGAGUCACUCCAGGAAAAGAAAACCAG